UACGGAGGGUGCGAGCGUUAAUCGGAAUUACUGGGCGUAAAGCGCGCGUAGGCGGUCAACUAAGUCGGUUGUGAAAGCCCCGGGCUCAACCUGGGAAUGGCAGUCGAUACUGGUUGGCUGGAGUAUGGGAGAGGACAGUGGAAUUCCAGGUGUAGCGGUGAAAUGCGUAGAGAUCUGGAGGAACAUCAGUGGCGAAGGCGACUGUCUGGCCUGAUACUGACGCUGAGGUGCGAAAGCGUGGGGAGCAAACAGG
rnacentral:rRNA from 1 species